UGGAGAAGGCAGACCUUUGUGUAGAAGAUGACACUGCUGGUUCUCCUCCUGUGCCUGGUGACAGCCCCCCAGGGUGUCUGGUCCCAGGUGCAGCUGCAGGAGACGGGUCCAGGAACAGUGAAGCCCUCACAGACCCUCUCCCUCACCUGCACUGUCUCUGGUUACUCCAUCACUACUGAUUACUACUGGAGCUGGAUCCGCCAGCCCCCUGGAAAGGGGCUGGAGUGGAUCGGGAGCAUAAGUUAUACUGGAAGCACUUACUACAGCACAUCCCUGAAAAGCCGGGCCACCAUCACCAGGGACACGUCCAAGAACCAGUUCUCCCUGUAG